CAUACCCUUUGUUCCUUAACUAUUGCACUCGAACUUUCUUUGGACUUCCACACACAGACAGACGCGCUCUCUCAGAAACUCUUCAGUGAACCGAACACCGAUGGCGGUCUGGUAGGCGCCGCUUAUCUCGUUCGGCAUUCCUCCCCUAAAACGGCUUCCUCUGCUCAAGCUGCUUCCCUUAUACAUAGGCGCGGUCUCGCCGGAGGAGGCGAUCAUCAGGGACCUCCAAAGGUGAACUUUUGGCAGGACCCAUUGCAUCCAUCUAGAUGGAAAGAAGAACACUUUGUGAUUGUCUCUUUUGCAG